GCUAGGGUAGAGACUUCUUGGAACUCUUUUGAGGCUCCUCGGAUUCCGUUGAGGCUAUCUCUUGGGACGGACAGCUAUUGUACUGUUUGGGAGGGGACACUUCCCUUUGUUAAGGGCUUAACUCUUAUCUGCCCCUUUUUUUUGUUGCUUUGUUUUUUUAGCAGCAAUGGAGGAAGCCUGGAAGUGAGACCAAAGAUUGCCUAACAGGUAUCAGAUACUGUACUGAUUUCUUCAAGCUUAUCUUCAGGAUUUAUAAUUGUGACAUCUUCUGCUAAUUCAAUCAUCACUUUGGACAUUCAAUUAGAUGGUUGUGUCCCCUGGAAGUUGUGGACGGUAUCUAUUCAGCUACAAUUAUUUGCUCAACAACAACAACUAUGGGGCCAAAUAAUAUCUUCUGGAACCCUCUCUUUGCCCCGAAUUGAGUAACAUGCAAGGCCUAACUCACCCACUUGCAGGGGUUUCCUGGAAGCCACCUGAAGUGGCAUUUAUUUAUUGGUGGAUUCCAAGAAAAUUUAAGAUUGUCCUGCUUGCAACCCUUGCCAUUGCAUCAAAGCAACCCAGACGCAUAUAAACAGAUAUAUGAGAUACACAUUUAUGAAGCACUAAGUGAUAGAUGCUGAACGAUUAGAAUGCUUCAUGUUGAAGAGGAGUUUAUCCUACCUCUCAUCAUACUUGUUUGUUUACAAGGUAAAUCUAAUCAUUUUCUGAAGGGCGUAGAAGAAAAAGGAACGCAUGUAGCUAUAUAAACUGGGUUUUAAUCUGGAGGUUGGAAAGGAGGGAGAAAGGUAAGGGCUAUGCACCAUCCAGUUGCCUUGCACUAUCAGUAAGAGACUCGUAGGCUUAUAUGAUGGAUACUGGAUACAUAAGCGCAACUUUCACAUACUUUCGCACACAGAAAUGACAUGCAAGCAAGCAACAUCGAUCUACGAUAUCUCAUGAUAAUCUAAAAGCUCAGACCAGAACCUCUAAACUUGCUCUCCGUAAUCUCCUCCAAUCGCCGAGCCAUCUCCGGUGUAAGAUGAUUCNNN
rnacentral:lncRNA from 1 species